CAUCAAUCCCCAACUGUCAAAAUUUAACUGGAAUGGCCCAUUGUAGAUUUUGACGUUCGUGAUCAUGUAUAGAACACAAAAUGACAAAAAAAAAAUAAAAAUAAAAAUUUCAUAAAACUUGUAUAGCGUAUGAAUAUUAAAUACCAGCGAAAGAAUUAUAGUCCGGCCGAUUGGUGCAGAUAUAGAGCAGAAUUGCUCACUUGAUGAGGAAAGCAUGAAACUUUGCAUAGUAGUUCUUGGUUAUAUAUCCUUUGAUUUCAGCUAUGGACCCACUCUGAAAAAUCCAAUAUGGCUGCAAUUUUCAAGAUGGCGGAAAAACGGUAUAAAAUUCAAGAUUGUCCUAAAAGUAUUCUAUAUAAUUUCGGAAAAAGUAAUGAUUCUUUAAAAAUGGACUUCAUGUUCUUGAAUUUGUUAUCAAUUAAUUCAAAAGUAUAAAACAAAUAAUUUGGGUAUUUCUAUAACACAUAAGUUGCAAAUAUAGCUGCAUAUACAAAAACAAAUAGUGAAAUUCAAAAUGUUAAUCAAUAUCAUAAUGUUACAUGUUAUUGUGAUUGUUCUUUAAACGCUUUCAGUUUUAAUGGUUGGAAUGAAAUAGGUUGAAACGAGUCGAUUGACGUUAAUAUAGGUCGGAUAAAUGUGAUGGAAUAGUAGGUAACUCAUCUGAACUUUGAGGUAGUGCCGAGGGCACCUUGUCUCGUGUCUCUUCAAUGCCACGUCUUACGUCACUGAUCGCGUUUGCAUCUGCCGUACCCACUACAUCGUCAAAUUAUUCUAUGUAAUCAAUAGGUGUACCUUUCUUCCGACGGAUUAGACGAUUGCUAUCAUUUAAAAUGGUUAAAGGGCAACUGUUUCCUUUUCCAACUACGUACGUAACCAAUUUGCAACAUUUCAGCGAGCAUGGUCCUAAAAUGCACUCCUGGUCAGCACUUUUAUCAGUCUUAAUGGUAACAGUCAUGUUUGAAUUUGGUGGAACUGUGAUGGUUCGUUUUAUGCAAACUAGCUGAGUUAAAAUCUCGUUUCCAUUAUUAACAAAUGACGCAUUUAUCUCUUUAUUGUUAAUGGUAAUUGUGGGACUACUCAGGUUUAUCACUGCGAUCAGUGUGUCCAAAAUAACUAGCCUAAGUAUAUCAUCGUCUGUUAAUGGCUCUUUGCACACAUCCCAUUGUAUGUUUACUCUAUUAAUGUCGAGAGUCGUUCCUUAUAAUCUUCUCAAUAACAAGCUGUUAACCUCACCACAUAGCGUUACGUUCUCCAAAUCUCAAUUUUCUACCGGAAUUAAUUUCUCAUUUACUAAUGUUAUCAUUGCAGCAGUGUCCACAAUCAUGCUCACAUUCUGGUCAUGUGUAGUACCUCGUACUACUAAGCUCUUUCAAAUGGUUCGUCUGAUGACAAUAUUGGACGAGGCAGUGGGCCUCUGUUCGAUUGUGUGAUAAGAUGAUGUUUCAUUGCCAAUAAACUUUGGAAUCUGAGUUGUCCUACUGGCCCGACCCUUUGCUCCAUUGUUGAGGUUACACUUUCAUUUGCUCCGUAUCCUGGUGAAGGUGACCGUUGUUUGAAAUAUUCGGGAUUUCUGGAGUUUGUCCGUGGAGAUGCUAACCGUUGUCUUUAGGGACUAUAUGAUCUCUAGCUUAGUGGGGGUGUUACUGAUCGAUAGGCAUUAAGCUUGGAUGUACUUCUAUCUGCCGAUUUACCGCCAUUGUAUUGCUCAAUAGAUCUUCCACGUUUAUAUUGAUCAGGUGAUCUUCCAUUGAACUGGUGAUCUUCCAUGACUUUUUUAUCAGAAGAACCGAGAUUAUAUUGAUCGGCCAAUCCAGUGUGAGGUUAUGCACCUCAUAAUCCAAAGGACUGUUCAUAUUUUCUUUAACGGUGGUCGAUGGUCAUAAUUGGCACUUUUUUAUCCAUAUAUCGCCAUCUGGUUUGAUUUUGAGGUUUUUACGUGUUUUAACGCCUUGUUGAAUGUUUCUAGGUUCCUCUCUAUUACAUGCCUUGAAGAUUCUUUGUCUUUACAUCCUCGACGGAAUGUUUUGGUUUGCAAUCUGGUUUGAUCGUCUUCCUUGCUGAAGCGCUGCUCCAAAUGAAUGCUUUUUAAGGCCUUGGGAAUCAUCAUCUGUGUUUACCAUGCGAGCGUACUCAAAGCCCAACAUUGGCCUGGCAAUCUGGGCCUACACACAUUUUUCCUGAUUUCCCAUUGUCAUCUACCGGCAGUUCGUUCAAAUUGGUAAAUGAGCGCCUCCCAAGAAAUGGAUCCUCUUCAAUUGAGUUUUUAAAUUUGUGGCAGCUGUGGGCUUCGGCUCCGGUCCCUUGCUCAAAGAUUUUCUUGCCACAUGGUAUAUUCUCUCUCCAGUGAAGAGUCUGAAGAAAGAGGUGUUGUCACACUCUUUUUCUUUCCUCUGCCCUUUCCUGGAUCGGUCAAUAGAGCCAACUUGAUGUUAUGGGAAGCAUAUUAGAGCUCCAGAAGCGGACGAGGUUGUCAUAAUUGGAGUGAUAAAUGUGGGAUUUGCCAUUGACUCGACGGGGAUGAUACCGUAAGUAGGCACUGCAUUCAACAUUGGAGAAACUUGAUAGAAUUCAUUUGCAGCUAAUUGUUUCUGUAAUGGUGUGCUGAUCUAAACCAAAUAUUAUUGACUCAUAGUAGAUGGUUAGUGUGCGUAAGAAGACACAUACGCCUUUUGCUGGUAUCCUUAAUUAGCACUAGAGGUUUAUAGUAUGUUCUUAAAUGGAGAUUGUUGUUGAAUAAUUUGAACUGUCUCAUGCAGGGCCAAGGGCCCUGACAUAGGACUUUUGACUUAAGGCGAAGACACCUUCAACAGAGUUGGCACGGUUUAUGGUUCAUACGAACUACAAUUGUGGAAAGACCCACGGCAUGGAUUUUUGAUGUGUACUUUUGGUAAACUUGCGUUGUACUGGCUAAGGUCAAAUUUUGGCUUAGAUGAUGUGUCCAUUGCAGUAAAAUAUUAACUUCUUUAUUUCGAUUGUCCACUGAUUCAUUCACAACAGAUGCCAAUUGUUGAAAGGUACCCUGUUGUUCAAAUGCACUUUGAAAUAGAACUGUGUCUCCUUCCUCAGUUGUUGUCAGCUUGUCCUUUCGUCUCACACCAAACAUUGAAUAUCUAUUGGUCUGACCAUCAAUUCCGCCAAGCAAUUAUUACUAGCCUUGUGGUCUAUCCUGUCUUCAGACUGCUGAAGUUGCUGAGAUAUUGCUUUCACCUGUUUGUUAUUGAUAUUCAUUGCCACUUUCUGUUCAGCUUGAAACGUAAUGAGACCAACACAUAUUUUAUAUAUUCGCGCUUCGCUCUGUUUUAUAUUGCGGUAAAUAUCAACUGUUCUUUUAGCAUUUGAUUUUCUAUCUGUUAAAUAUUCUUGGUACAAUUGUUUAAUAGUCAUUUCUGAGCUGUCCUCUGUUAAAGCGUCUUCAGCUGUAGGUUUCUCAAUAUCCCCAAGUGAUUUAGUUUCUGUCAUUUCAAUGUUCUUGUCCUUGUUGUCCUCAAUUCCUGCCAUUUCACUGAUAUGUGUUUAACUGAUUCUCAAUUCAGUUUAAUGUCUCAAAUUGCAAAUAUUGCGACCAAGAGAUAAGAUAGGCACUGAAUAAUAUCUUAAGGCAGAAAAAAAAAAAAAAAAUAAAUCCCAAAUUACAGCUUUUAUGUGUGACCCAAGACAACAAAUAGUGUGCAAAAAUAGCUGCAGCUUUUAAUGAAAGCUACUACUGCAGCUUUUUAUGAAAGCUACUACUUUGUGUAUGAAAUGACAAGCAAGGCAAAAUCAGAAAGGACAGAACUAGGACAGAUACCAAAUGAAACUAUACAUCAAUAAAAUGCUUAUAUUCAGGUCAAUUCUCAAUAAUGAAUAUUUGCUUAUUUUUCAAGGCGGCCAUUUUGAAAAUAGCCGCCAUUUUGUAUUUCAAAAAUAGAACAAAACAAAAUCUUGCUAAGUACACCAAGUCAUUCAAAUAUGUUGAUUUUUGUGCACCCAGCACCAAAUCCACUGUGGUUUGUGCAAUACAGGAAAAUAUUUUAGAACGUACGGCAGCCAUCUUGAAAUAGGCCGCCAUAUUGAAUUUUGAGGAUGGGUCCAUAGCUAAUAUUGCUCAGUACACAAAAAUGUACCAUCAUGCAAAAAUUGGUGCUUUCCUCAUUAUUUGAGCAAUUUUUCAACCGAUCGGCCGGACUAUUAAGCUUGACUUUUACUUUAACGUAUGCUAUACUUGGGCCCAUGUAUCUGCAUAUAAUCGAGUAUACCAAGG
rnacentral:lncRNA from 1 species